AUUUAAUUGUGUCUUUCUAAGUUCCUAUUUUAAAUGGUAUAAGAGAAAUUACAUCAUGGUAAAACUGAUCAAAACCAUUAUUAAAAGGUCUUAAAUAAAAAAGAAUAAUUAUAGAAAAAUAUAAUUUAGAGAAUGAUGCACAGAAUAUUGAAGUUAAAGUCCAGAAGCAAGACGCUACAGCUUUAUUUUACUUUAAAAUAAAUCUGUCUGAUUGCAGCUUAGCAAAACAUUUUAUAAUGCAAAAAUCAGUUGUGUCUUGAAAAUCGUGUUUCAAGAAUUUAAUGUUUUUAUGGAAAUUAUUUUAUUUAACUUUAAGCAAUAACUAGGAACCACAAUUAAAUUUUAAUCAAAAUGAAGGCUUAUUUAAAACAUUAAGAAAGAGUGUUUGAUUAAAAAAACACAUCUAGUGUGAUACAAGGGGAAAAUCACCCCCUCUUUGAGAUGAUUAUAUUGUGAUCUGAAGACUUUAGAGUGUUAAUUAGACACUUAAUAAAAUUGAACUUCCAUGGAAAGGGAAAUCUUUUGUAAAUCAUUCUACUUUUGCACUUUGAAGGAAGGCAUUAAGCAUACAGAAGCAAGAAUGGUCAAAAUCGAAUGCUGCAUUUUUAUAAACAAAACUACAGAGUGUCUAUCACCGCAGAAGAAUGAACUAAAAGCAUUCAUAACCAAACACAACGGUAAUUAUUACAGAGUAAUAUACCACAUUUUAGACCAGAGAUAGACUAAGGUUGGAUAACUCUGACUUAGGCAAAACUGUUCUGGUAGUUCGGUUUCAUUAUCUUAGUGAUUCUAGUCAUUUUACAUUAUGUUUGUAUUUGGCCAUUUACUGUAAUCACAUGUUUAUAUCUGUACAAUGACACCUUUUGCAGUUGUGGGGUAGUGUGCAACACUGUGCAUCUUGCAUUAAUGAAACUACUACAGUGAUAUUAUCAUUUAAUAAUAUUAAUAUUACUUGAAAAUAGACAAAGAUAAAGAAAAAGGGUCUAUAUGAUGUGCAGCUUUGUGCCUUUAUGUAUUUGCCUUGUUCUUUGUUGAAUGUGUGAAAUUCCGUACUGUGUUUUUUUUUUCCUAAAAUAGAGAGUAGAGUUGUGUAAUAAAUUAGACUGUGUCCCUAACACCUUUACACUACUGAGAAUAGCUUGGUUUUGGCUGUGUGACCCAAUUUUCAAAGUUCUAAUGACAUGCCAUGUGUUUUGGUUUUUAACAUUUCAUUUUAAUACUUCAUUACUACCAUGCAUUAAUUAAUACUCCUGUAAUAGAUAAGCAGUCAUUAAAUAAUUCCAAAUGAAAGGGCCAUUGCUUGCAUUCUUUUGAAUUUAAUGUUGCACUUGUGCACUGUAUUAAUAUUGUUCGUGAUGGAUUCGACAUUGUGACUUUUGCCUUUUAAGAAGAAAAAAAAAAGAGUAGGACAAAGUAUUUCAAGCUCUUAAAAUGUACAUAUUUUGGUUCUUCUAUGUAGAAUUAUUUAAAAUGCAUAAUCCACAUUUUUGUAAUAAUUCUAUGCAAUUUUGUGGCAUGAUGUUUCUUCCACUUGUAAUUUUAUGUGCUUUCACCACAAAUCCAAAGGGAAC
ensembl:lncRNA